GACGAACGCUGGCGGCGUGCCUAAUACAUGCAAGUCGAGCGAAUCGAUGGGAGCUUGCUCCCUGAGAUUAGCGGCGGACGGGUGAGUAACACGUGGGUAACCUGCCUGUAAGACUGGGAUAACUUCGGGAAACCGGAGCUAAUACCGGAUACUUUCUUUUCUCGCAUGAGGGAAGAUGGAAAGAUGGUUCUGCUAUCACUUACAGAUGGACCCGCGGCGCAUUAGCUAGUUGGUGAGGUAACGGCUCACCAAGGCAACGAUGCGUAGCCGACCUGAGAGGGUGAUCGGCCACACUGGGACUGAGACACGGCCCAGACUCCUACGGGAGGUAGCAGUAGGGAAUCUUCCGCAAUGGACGAAAGUCUGACGGAGCAACGCCGCGUGAGCGAAGAAGGCCUUCGGGUCGUAAAGCUCUGUUGUUAGGGAAGAACAAGUACGAGAGUAACUGCUCGUACCUUGACGGUACCUAACCAGAAAGCCACGGCUAACUACGUGCCAGCAGCCGCAGUAAGAC
rnacentral:rRNA from 1 species